rnacentral:rRNA from 1 species
AUUGAACGCUGGCGGCAUGCCUUACACAUGCCAGUCGAACGGCAGCACGGGUGCUUGCACCUGGUGGCGAGUGGCGAACGGGUGAGUAAUACAUCGGAACAUGUCCUGUAGUGGGGGAUAGCCCGGCGAAAGCCGGAUUAAUACCGCAUACGAUCUACGGAUGAAAGCGGGGGACCUUCGGGCCUCGCGCUAUAGGGUUGGCCGAUGGCUGGUUAGCUAGUUGGUGGGGUAAAGGCCUACCAAGGCGACGAUCAGUAGCUGGUCUGAGAGGACGACCAGCCACACUGGGACUGAGACACGGCCCAGACUCCUACGGGAGGCAGCAGUGGGGAAUUUUGGACAAUGGGCGAAAGCCUGAUCCAGCAAUGCCGCGUGUGUGAAGAAGGCCUUCGGGUUGUAAAGCACUUUUGUCCGGAAAGAAAUCCUUGGCUCUAAUACAGCCGGGGGAUGACGGUACCGGAAGAAUAAGCACCGGCUAACUACGUG